rfam:Rattus norvegicus chromosome X, whole genome shotgun sequence.
GGUGAUUUAGCUCAGUGGUAGAGCACUUGCCUAGCAAGCGCAAGGCCCUGGGUUCAGUCCCCAGCUCCG